UUUAUAAGUUUCCAGUGGGAGGGGUUCAAAAAAUUUUAAGGUACGGUUUAUAGUAUGGUGCACUCAUAGUCCGGAAAAUACGGUGAUUGGUCUUAAAAGAUUUUUUUGAAAUCGAAUUAAUUAUCUGCAAAUAAUGCCAUCU